rnacentral:tRNA from 1 species
UCCCCGAUAACUCAGUUGGUAGAGUGGGUGACUGUUAAUCACCUUGUCGCUGGUUCGAGUCCAGCUCGGGGAGCCA